CGAGUUCUGAUUAUUGAAAGGUGCUUGCAUCUUGAUUUAAUUUUGAACGAGUGGCGGACGGGUGAGUAACACGUGGGUAACCUGCCCUUAAGUGGGGGAUAACAUUUGGAAACAGAUGCUAAUACCGCAUAAAUCCAAGAACCGCAUGGUUCUUGGCUGAAAGAUGGCGUAAGCUAUCGCUUUUGGAUGGACCCGCGGCGUAUUAGCUAGUUGGUGAGGUAACGGCUCACCAAGGCAAUGAUACGUAGCCGAACUGAGAGGUUGAUCGGCCACAUUGGGACUGAGACACGGCCCAAACUCCUACGGGAGGCAGCAGUAGGGAAUCUUCCACAAUGGACGCAAGUCUGAUGGAGCAACGCCGCGUGAGUGAAGAAGGCUUUCGGGUCGUAAAACUCUGUUGUUGGAGAAGAAUGGUCGGCAGAGUAACUGUUGUCGGCGUGACGGUAUCCAACCAGAAAGCCACGGCUAACUACGUGCCAGCAGCCGCGGUAAUACGUAGGUGGCAAGCGUUAUCCGGAUUUAUUGGGCGUAAAGCGAGCGCAGGCGGUUUUUUAAGUCUGAUGUGAAAGCCCUCGGCUUAACCGAGGAAGUGCAUCGGAAACUGGGAAACUUGAGUGCAGAGGACAGUGGAACUCCAUGUGUAGCGGUGAAAUGCGUAGAUAUAUGGAAGAACACCAGUGGCGAAGGCGGCUGUCUGGUCUGUAACUGACGCUGAGGCUCGAAAGCAUGGGUAGCGAACAGGAUUAGAUACCCUGGUAGUCCAUGCCGUAAACGAUGAAUGCUAGUGUUGGAGGGUUUCCGCCCUUCAGUGCCGCAGCUAACGCAUUAAGCAUUCCGCCUGGGGAGUACGACCGCAAGGUUGAAACUCAAAGGAAUUGACGGGGGCCCGCACAAGCGGUGGAGCAUGUGGUUUAAUUCGAAGCAACGCGAAGAACCUUACCAGGUCUUGACAUCUUUUGAUCACCUGAGAGAUCAGGUUGCCCGUGUGGGGCGAAAAUGACAGGUGGUGCAUGGUUGUCGUCAGCUCGUGUCGUGAGAUGUUGGGUUAAGUCCCGCAACGAGCGCAACCCUUAUGACUAGUUGCCAGCAUUUAGUUGGGCACUCUAGUAAGACUGCCGGUGACAAACCGGAGGAAGGUGGGGAUGACGUCAAAUCAUCAUGCCCCUUAUGACCUGGGCUACACACGUGCUACAAUGGAUGGUACAACGAGUUGCGAGACCGCGAGGUCAAGCUAAUCUCUUAAAGCCAUUCUCAGUUCGGACUGUAGGCUGCAACUCGCCUACACGAAGUCGGAAUCGCUAGUAAUCGCGGAUCAGCACGCCGCGGUGAAUACGUUCCCGGGCCUUGUACACACCGCCCGUCACACCAUGAGAGUUUGUAACACCCGAAGCCGGUGGCGUAACCCUUUUAGGGAGCGAGCCGU
rnacentral:rRNA from 2 species